rnacentral:rRNA from 1 species
GACGAACGCUGGCGGCGUGCUUAACACAUGCAAGUCGAACGAUGAAAUGGAGCUUGCUCCAUGGAUUAGUGGCGAACGGGUGAGUAACACGUGAAUAACCUGCCCUUCAUUUUGGAAUAACCCAGGGAAACCUGGGCUAAUACCGGAUAAGUAAACCUGUGGCAUCACAUGGUUUUGGAAAGUUUUUCGAUUAAGGAUGGGUUCGCGGCCUAUCAGCUUGUUGGUGAGGUGAUGGCUCAACAAGGCGACGACGGGUAGCCGGCCUGAGAGGGUGAACGGCCACACUGGGACUGAGACACGGCCCAGACUCCUACGGGAGGCAGCAGUGGGGAAUAUUGCGCAAUGGACGAAAGUCUGACGCAGCGACGCCUCGUGAGGGACGAAGGUCUUCGGAUUGUAAACCUCUUUCAGCAGGGACGAAGCGAAAGUGACGGUACCUGCAGAAGAAGCACCGGCUAACUAUGUGCCAGCCGCCGCGGUAA